AUGAGAGCGAUGGGAGUCCUGGUGCUGGCGCUCCUGGCGCUGGGCGCAGGGCUGCAGGCAGCACCCACCGCAGGGCGCCCUGGAGCAGCCCCAGACCCGUGGCUGCAGCUGGAAUGUCCUGGACUUGCUCUGGUCGGGAAGAGCCUUUUGCCUGUGGAACAGCCCAGCGCGGUGCCCGCUCCGGUGCCCGGGAAUGCCGCCUGCGAUGGGACAUGGGAGUGUGCAGAGUGGGUGUGUAAGGACCAGCUCCUGCCCGUGGCUGCUGCAACACCUGCACCGGGGAAGAAGCCGGAGCCCGGGCGAGGGCCUGCAGCAGGGAACAAGCCCGCAUUGAGUGGGAACAAGCCCACACUGGAUGGGAACAAGCCUGCACUGGAUGGGAACAAGCCCACUUUGGGUGGGAACAAGCCCGCAUUGAGUGGGAACAAGCCCACACUGGAUGGGAACAAGCCCACUUUGGGUGGGAACAAGCCUGCAUUGAGUGGGAACAAGCCUGCGCUGGGUGGGAACAAGCCUGCACUGGCUGGGAAGCCGGACACAGGGAAGAAACCCAGUUCAGGGAAGAAGCCAACAUGUGGGGGGAAGACUGAGACUCAGGAAAAGCCAACGGCUGUGGCAAAGCCAGGGGCUGGAGGGAAGCCGGAGACUGGGGAUAAACCUGUGCUGGGGGAGAAGCCGGAGACUGGUGGGAAGCCAGAGGCUGGGGAGAAGCCAGAAGCUGGGGAGAAGCCGGAGGCUGGGGGAGAAGCCGGAGGCUGGGGAGAAGCCAGAGAGCGAGGGGAAGCCGUGAGGCAGGAGAGAAACCUGAGUCUGACCAGGGUGACAGUGGGGACGAUGAUGAUGAUGAUGAUGAUGAUGGUGAUGAUGAUGGUGAUGAUGAUGAUGGCAACGACGAUGGUGACAGCAAUAGUGAUGACGAUGGAGAUGAUGAUGGCAAUGACGAUGGAGAUGAUGGCAAUGAUGAUGGCAACAGCAAUGGUGAUGACGAUGAUGGCAACAGUGAUGACGAUGACAAUGGCGAUGACAACAGUGAUGACAAUGGUGAUAAUGAUGAUGGUGGUGAUGAUGAAGACUAUGGAGAUGAUGAUGGCGAUGAAGAUGAUGACAGUGAUAAUGGUGGUUAUGACGAUGGCACUUGGUGAUCGAUGCCACCAGGUGUGUGAGGAAGCAAGCAGAGCCUGUGGUGGCUCAGGGGUGGCUACCCUAGGGCUCCUCCUCUGCCUCACUCUGCCAGGGCCGGCCCCGAGCACCAGCUGUGUUUGGUCAGGUCCUUCUCUUUCCUAAUAAACCCCACACUGAGCCACCUGCUUGGUAUGAUAAACUAUCCCUGGUCAGUGCCUGGCAUGGCCAGCGCCGCAAGGCUGCCCCAGCCUGUCCCAUGCACGAGGAGCUCCUGCACCUGGUGUGAGCCUGGCAGGGCCCUUUGCACAGCACCAUGACUUGGUCCCUGUGAGAGAGCCACAGGAAUGGCCCUGACGUGCCCUGCCAGGACCAACAGAACAUCUCUGGGCCAGGAGACCCUACCCAGCUUCCCAGGGGCUCCUUGGGCUGAGCUGCCCCAUGGCUGCUCUGCAGCAUCCUCCAGCAGCAGCUGCCAUGGUAGAGCUUGGCCAGGGCCCACAGGAGCUGCUGGAGCUGGGGACAAACCCAUCCCCAGGGAUGUGCUGCCUUUGGUGACAGCCCCUGCUGGACCCAGGCCCCCCCACAAGGCCCAGAGCUCCCAGGGGGCUCACCAGGAGCCUGAUGCAGCAGCAGCCACCAGUGGUCAUUGCAGAAUGGGUUUACUGGGGGCGGGGGGCACUGGGACCCCACGUGCUCUGCAGGGAGCUGAGGGUGAGGGAUGGAGGUGGGACUGGGAGGAUGGGUCCUUAUCCAGCAGCUGGUGGGUCCCUCCAUGGCUGCUGUCUGUCUGUCUGUCCCCUGGCCGCACAGGCUGGGUCCUUGGUCCAGGUCCACGCAGGGGUUAGGUGAGUCCUGGGGAGAGACCAAAGCAUCCGUGUCCCAAGCCCUGGCUUCAGAGCACACUGGGGUGCAGCCAUUGACCCUGCUCAGGAAGCUGAGCUCCGGCCACAGCUGCCCCCUCCCGCAGCACCGGCUGCCCAUACCCACCCUGCACUCACCGGUGGACAGCAGCCGGGCCCAGAGGCAGCAGAGCCCCAGCAGCAGGAGCAGCAGCAGCAGCCGCAUGGUGCAGGGCAGCGCCAGGCUUGGGCACAGCUUUAAAUCCUCUCGGGCUGGAGGCUGGUCCCAGUGACCUGGUCUGUGCCCAGUGCCCAGCACGCUC
rnacentral:lncRNA from 14 species